rfam:Nicotiana sylvestris Nsyl_contig26269, whole genome shotgun sequence.
GAAAGCCGUGUGAUAGGUGACUAUCCAGCACGGUUCGGAGAGCACUUUUAGUCUGCGCUGGUGAAUGGAAGCCCCCCCUAUCAAGCAAGAAGGAAGCGGCUCUUCCCACGGCGGAGUCNUAGUCACCAUUGACUCUGC